GUGUCUGACGUGCUCACCCCUCCCUCUGGUGCCUCCAACCUUACAAGUUUAACUAUUACAAAAUGCAGUAGUACAUCUGUGAGGUAAGUGAAAGUUGAGGAGAACCAGAUAUCUAGAAAUGUGUAAAGAAGAAAGGAGUCCGGGCAAAAGUAAAAGAAAUUUGGGGUGGAAAAAGAAAAAAUAAAGGAAGGGGAAGAAGAGGAGGCAGAACUAGGGAAUUUCAACAGGGUAAAGCUAUAAGAGGAAGUGCAACCAGUCAGGAAAACUGGGGGAGGGGCCGCAGGGCGGAUGGGUCACGUUGCCGGCGGAGCCAUUUGGGUUGUGCGCGGCGGUUGGGCGCGGGGCCUGUUGGGUUGUGACGCACAUUCCAGGCUUUUAUUGCCUUAUUCCCGAGGGCUCAACAGAUCUAAGAUGGCGGCCCUUGCACCGGGGCAAGUACUGCUGGCGCACGAGUUACGGAAAGGCGACCUAAGGACGAAUUUAUUUAGGAAACCAUAGAAACUCGCCAAUUUUUGUGUGGUGUGAGGACUUCUGGACAUACAACAUUUGUGCUGGAAGCAUCUCAAAGGUCGGUGUGCGUGUGUGUACAGGCCUGCAUGGAUCUGGACAAUAAGUGGGGAAAAAUCUGUCAAUUGAAGCUGACUCCUGAAUGGCAUAGAUGAUGGAAUUAGUGAUUUAGGAGUUUAAAACAGUUACUUAUCAAUGUAGAGGAUAGUCUGAAAAUGCUUACUUGAAGUAUGAAAGAUAUAAAAAAGAUUUUAACUUCUGAGAAUGAAAAAUACGAUUUUUAAAUUUUAAGUUGUUUAGGGAGUUUCCUGUUCUUUUUCUGUUAUAAAUUUCUAGUUUAAUUAUAUUAUGGCUUGAGAAAAUACUUUGUAUACUUCUAGUUUUUUUCAUGUAUGUUAGGCUUUGCUUUAUGUGAAUAUUUCAUAUGUACUUAAAAACAAUGUCAGUUUUGUUCUUGGGUUGAGUAUUGUAUAACCACUGAAAAGAUUUCCUUGGUUAAUGAUCUUGUUCAGUCUUCCAUACUCUGUUGAUUUUCUGCCUGUUAAUUCUAAUUGUGAUAGAAGUGUUGAAGUCUUUAAGUUUCUUGUCAAUUUGUCUAUUUCUUGUUUUAUUUUGUCAGUUUUUGAUUCAUAUAUUAUGAACCUCUGUUAGGUGCAUAUGCAUUUAGGAUUGCUGUGCCUUCUGGUUCAAUCAACCCUUUUAUCAUUAGAUAAUUGCCCUCAUUUUCCCUGGUAAUUUUCUUUGUUCUGAAAUCUGUUUUUGUCUUUCAUAAAUAUAGCUAGUCCUGUUGUUUGAUUGAUGUUUGCAUGGUAUGUAUCUUCUCAUUCCCUUGCUAUUUAGGCUGCUUAUACCAAUGUAUUUGAAGUCUAUCUCUUGUAGACAGGAUAUUGUUUCAUGGUUUAGGUUUUUUGUUUUUUGUUAUUUUGGUAAUCUGACAGUUUCUGUGUUUGAGUUUUGGUCCUUAGGCCAUUUAUAAUAAAAAAUUGAUAUAUUUAGAUUUAGGUUUACUACUUUAUUUUUUGUUUUCUGUUUGUUAAUUUUUAUAACCUUUCUGCCUUCUUUUGGGUUAUUUGAAUAAUUUUCCAUUUUGAUUUUAUUGUUAUUUUUUAUUAUAUCUCUUUGUAUAGCCUUUAGUUUUUUCUUUAGGGGGUUACACAAUACAUACUUAAGUUUUCACUGUAUUUUAGGGGGUUAUACAAUAUAUACUUAAGUUUUCACUGUAUUUUACCCUGUAGUUUGGAAUAUAGGAACUGGAAUAUAGGAACAUUAACAUUUCAUAGGCCCCUUAACUCUCCCUCUUUUACAAUUGUCACAUACUGUAUUGCCAUACAUUGAAAACUCUAUCAGAGAAUGUUUGUCUUUUGUUUUCAGUCUUCACAAUUUAAAAAAACUCAAGAGAGACAAAUAACCUCCUGAAUUAUCCAAACAAAUAUUUCUGUUGCUCUUCAUUCCUGAUGAUUUAUGUUCCCUUCUGGUGUUUCCCUUCUGCAUGAAAACUUGUUGUAGCAUUUCUUUAGAGAAGAUCUUAUGGGUUAUGUACACUUAGGUUUCCAUCAUGAGAAUAUCUUUAAUUUAUUUUACAUUCCUUUACAUAAAUUACUUUCUUUGGUUAUUUUGUGUGGAGAGUUGCUUUCUUUCAGCCAAUUAAACGUGUACACUUCCUUCUGACUUCCAGAGUUUCUGAUGGGAAAACAGUUAUUAUUCCUUUAUGUGGUUGUAUGAUAUUUUCUUUGGCUUCAGUUUUAGCAAUUUUAUUGUGAUGCAGCUGGCUGUGGAUUUCUUUGUAUUUAUCCUUUCUGAAGUUUUCUUAGUUAAUUGCAUCUGUAGGUUUAUGUCUAUUGCCAAACUUAAGAGGUUUUCAGGCACUAGUUUUUUCAAAUAUUUUCAGCCCCACACUGUUUCUUCUAUAUUUCUGUUAUUGUCUCAGUUCCCUGAACCUUUGUAUAUUUAUGCUAUUUUCUGUUAGUAUUGGAUAUUUUCUGUAUAUCUCUUUUUAAGUUCCUUUGCCAUCUCCACUGUGCUACUGAGUCUGUCAUUUUAUUUUUUAAUUUUGGUUACUGUAUUUGUAACUUAAAAAAUUUGUCUUUUCUUGAUAUCAUAUUUAUUGACAGGGUUUUCUGUUUCAGUAUUUGUCACAAGAAUGUGAUUGCUUGUCUGAGUAUUGUUAUAAUAGUUGUCUUAAAAGUGUCAGAUAAUUGCAAGAACCAUUAUCUUGGUAUUUUUUUAUGAUUUAAUGCAUGUUAUGCAAUCUUGUCAAUAAUACUGCAAAAGUAUUGCUGUGCUAUUCUCUGUGCAUCAUAUGUAUGUGAUGUUGGUAUGUUUUAAUGCAUGUGACUUUGAUCUCUUAGUUAAUGUGUGCCAGAGUUUUCCACUGUAAAGUUACUGCUUUUCCCUUUCAAUUUCAUAUGAUUUGGUGGGAAUAUACUUUGAGAUUAUGCAAAUAUUGUGUUUCUUGUCAUACUUCACUCACUGAUUUUAUCCAUCAUGAUUAUUACCUGCCACAGUGAUUAUGUUACUCUUUGUUUCAUGGUUGUUUAGAAUUUCCAUUAUUCCUUCUACAUUCAUUAAUUGGAAUUCUACUAUAAGGAAGCUCUGUCCAUUCUUCCAUUUUACUAAUUUAAUCAAAUAUUUAUUUCAGUAUGGACUCAUUGGUGUUUAUUUAAGUCUCUUGAUUUUAAUCCAGUACUGUCAUUAUUUUGUUGCUAUGGCUAUCAAGUUUGGCUGUUGUGCUUUCCUUCACGUUGGCUCCUGUGUCCUUUUGAUAUGCUCCCAUUUUUUUUUUGAGCAUUGCUCUAUUUCCUGUCACCACAGUAUGUUCUAGGUACAUCUUGUUUUUUCCCAUCCCAGCUCUGGAAUCUACCGUUUCUAUAAAUGAUCUUGGUUCCUGUUAUUGAAGAAUGGUUUUUAGAAAGCAAUAUUUGUGUGCUCAUUGUAUCUCUGUUUCCGGGCCCUCUCAGUCAACAGAGUGAGGGAGUAUAUGUUUAUAUUCACAGUCUUAGAUGUCCUUAUUUCUAUAUUCUUUUGUAUGUAUUUGUUUAUGUGUAGUUGUAUGUUUCAUAUUAAAUGAUGAAUUCAUAUUAAUAUGUUUGAUUCUAAAUAAAAGUGCAAGGUUCUGAGACUAUAUUUGUAAAUGACAUAUCUGACAAGGGGUUAACAUCCAAAAUAUAUAAAGAACUCAUACGCCUCAACACCCAAAAA